AGGCAGCAGUGGGGAAUAUUGGACAAUGGGCGAAAGCCUGAUCCAGCCAUGCCGCGUGAGUGAUGAAGGCCUUAGGGUUGUAAAGCUCUUUCGCCGGGGAAGAUAAUGACGGUACCCGGAAAAUAAGCCCCGGCUAACUCCGUGCCAGCAGCCGCGGUAAUACGGAGGGGGCUAGCGUUAUUCGGAAUUACUGGGCGUAAAGCGUGCGCAGGNNGUUAGUUAAGUUGGAUGUGAAAGCCCGGGGCUUAACCUCGGAUGUGCAUYCAAUACUGGCUCGCUGGAGGUUGGAAGAGGAGAGUGGAAUUCCCAGUGUAGAGGUGAAAUUCGUAGAUAUUGGGAAGAACACCAGUGGCGAAGGCGGCUCUCUGGUCCAUACCUGACRCUCAUGCGCGAAAGCGUGGGGAGCAAACAGGAUUAGAUACC
rnacentral:rRNA from 1 species